rnacentral:rRNA from 1 species
GAUGAACGCCGGCGGCGUGCUUAACACAUGCAAGUCGAACGGUGAAGGCGGAGCUUGCUCUGCUGGAUCAGUGGCGAACGGGUGAGUAACACGUGAGCGAUCUGCCCCUGACUCUGGGAUAAGCGCUGGAAACGGCGUCUAAUACUGGAUACGAUCUGCGAAGGCAUCUUCAGCAGCUGGAAAGAAUUUCGGUCAGGGAUGAGCUCGCGGCCUAUCAGCUUGUUGGUGAGGUAAUGGCUCACCAAGGCGUCGACGGGUAGCCGGCCUGAGAGGGUGACCGGCCACACUGGGACUGAGACACGGCCCAGACUCCUACGUGAGGCAGCAGUGGGGAAUAUUGCACAAUGGGCGAAAGCCUGAUGCAGCAACGCCGCGUGAGGGACGACGGCCUUCGGGUUGUAAACCUCUUUUAGCAGGGAAGAAGCGAAAGUGACGGUACCUGCAGAAAAAGCGCCGGCUAACUACGUG